rnacentral:lncRNA from 1 species
AGAGGGGCCAGGGGCAGGCUUCCUGCAGGCCUCUUUCUCCCUCCUGCUUCAGUUUCUUCACCAGAUAACGGGAGUGGCCCCGUGGACGUUCCCCAACCGUGAGCAAUUGCUCUGCCCAUCCCGGCCAGGGCUCCCUUUGUCCCCCAGGCUUCUACGAGCUCUCUUCCUCCGCCCUCUGCCUGGGCUAGAGCUCCGAGGGGUGUGGGGGUGCCUGUCGCCCACCUCCAGCUCCGCUCUCCCAGCCCCCGCGCCCUUGGAGGCUCUGAGUGCUCACCAGACCUUGGAAUCUCGCAGAGGUGCAUUCCCAAGAUUCCCAUUUCCUGCCGGCAAACUGAGGUUCACAGAGAAGGGGAUUGCCCCAGGUCUCCCGCUGGGCGUUGUAGCGACACACCGCCAUGCCGGGCUUGUGCUUCGCUGCUGCAUUUCGGUUCAUCCUUACAACCACCCUCCAGGAAGACCCGUCGUCAUCCCACUUCACAGAUGAGGAAACUGAGGACUGAAGAAGGUUACUUACCGCCCAAGUGAGGAAAUGUGGCAGGGCAAACACCAGAAGGUUUUUAGCCUUGAACUAAUGCCUUGGCCACAGGCCCACACGCUCGCCCUUACCCACUUCCAAGCUGCAGAACCACCAGCGAACCCAGCUUGGCCCUGGCCACGACUAAGCUGGACUUGCAAACAGGAGCUCGCCUCCUCCCACCGCCGGAGGCACCUCAGCGCUCGACACCUGUCUGGAUUCUGGGGUGCUGGGGCUCCGCCGUUCUCUUGUAGCUCGGGAGCUUCUGGGGGGCCUGGCUGGGGAUGGGGGGCCCGAGAGGAUGAGGGUGAAGCCGCG